rnacentral:lncRNA from 1 species
CUGAGGUCAGGAGUUUGAGACUGGCCUGGCCAAUAUGGUGAAACCCCUCCUCUGCUAAAAAUACAAAAAUUAGCUAGGCGUGGUGGUGUGUGCCUCCCAACUACUGGGGAGGCUGAGACAGGAGAAUUGCUUGAACCCGGGAGGCAGAGGUUGCAGUGAGCUGAGAUGGCGCCACUGCACUCCAGCCUGGGCGACAGAGCAAGACUCCAUCUCAAAACAAAAACAAAAAUGAAAACAAAAACAAAAACAGAACAAAAACAAAAUCGAGGGGGGGGUCUCCCCGGGACAGCUUGUGGCUUUAAAACAUUAUGCAAGAUGAAUCAUUCUUGAAAAGCCCCCUGGUUCGGGGAUGGUGACUCACGCCUGUAAUCCCAGCACUUUGGGAGGUGGAGGUGGGUGGAUCACUUGAGGCCAGGAGUUCGAGACCAGCCUGGCUAACAUGGUGAAACCCCAUCUCUACUAAAAAUACAUAAAUUAGCUGGGUGUGGUAGCCCACGUCUGUAGUUCCAGCUACUCCGGGGGCUGAGGCAUGAGAAUCGCUUGAACCUGGGAGGCCGAGGUUGCAGUGGGGCAGGCUUUGUCAAACUGCUGCCCCAGGAUACGGUCUUGAGGGUGGCUGUGGGGACACCCAGCACCUGCACCCCAAAGCCAUACGGUGUCAGAUUUUAGGAAGCGGUGGAGAACACUCGGUACCUUCUCGGUCCAGACAUCAAUAUUCCGGAGAGAACCAAAGCACCCACACUGGGCCCUCGCCAUCCUAACAGUCUGCCCACCUGUGAGAAACGCCCCCAAAUACUCUACAUUUCUUGGUUGGCCGAAAAGCAGCUCAGCGAGCAGUCUUACCUCCCAGGUGGGGUUUUCCCCCAGGGUAAGGAGGCCAGGGUCUGCAGGCCAGGGAGAGGAGCCCGGGUGCAGGAGCGGGCGGGGCAGCAGGAGGGCCCGCUCCAGCCACCCAGAAGUGGGCGUGGGCUAGAAUUCCGUUCCCAGCCUUCCAGAAGCUGCAAUUUUACAACCUCACAACAAGCGUCCCCUAGCAAAGCUGCACCGCCAUUUCCUGUGCUUGGGAACUGGAGGCAAGAGCCAUCUGAGAAGCAGCCCUGUCUGGGUCAUUGCGAUAGACAGAGGACACAGCGUGCGGUGCAGAGGACCCGGCCUGGCCCUGAGGCUGAACCGGCUGAACAGAUCCUGAAGACUAUGGAGGCAGAGCUCUGCUGCCCCCAAACCCCGGGAUAGACACAGGAAGAUGAGCCUGUGCUUUGUACACCAAAGAAAAUGGCUGAGGAGCUUCCGUCAAUUGAGAGGUUUAUUUUGCCGGAGUUGAGGAUGUGCCCAGGAGAAAGUGUCGGUAAACCGGAUCCCCAACUUCAGGAAAAGGAUGGGCUCUGCCGGCUGGGUGGGUCCGAAGGAGCACAGGAGGAGCUGUGGCCUGCACGAUUUCCAAAGAAGGUGUGAAUACUUCAGUAUUCAAAGAGAAAAGAGCAGGCAGGGCCGGGCGCGGUGGCUCAAGCCUGUAAUCCCAGCACUUUGGGAGGCCGAG